GAAUAUAUUUUUCAACACAGCAAUAUGUGAUUCUAAAGGUUAUGAAAAAGAAGGACAAUGUCCAGGAUGUUAUAUGAACCGAUGGAAAUGGAAGUCAAGCAAGCAAAUAUACCUGUUUAGUGAUGAUGAGACCACAGAAGAGAUCAUAAUGGAUAAUUUGACCAGAAAAAAGAAUACAAGUACAAUUUUUUAAAAAAAUGUAUAAUUUUUAUAAAAGCUUUAUAAUUCUAUUGUUGUACUGAAGUAGCAUGGCUGUCAUGUGAAAUUAUGUCCAUGAAAUUAGGUCUAGGCUGUCUAUUAAGUUCUGUUGAAAUGAAGUUUAUUAGAUGAAGAGUUUUGGUUUAGAAAGGCUAAAAAUGGGUACUGAUCCAUCUGUCAAUUGGUCAGAACAAACAGUUUAUUUCACACUUAUAUCUUCCUCCUAUGCUCAGAAAUUGGAAACAAAGUAAUUUUCUGUCUGGUGCCAUUUGAAUCUGAGCCUAUGUACUCUGUGCUGUGUGUACAGCUGACAUUGUUUUACCUUGUGUAAAUCAUUAAUCAUUGUCUGAAAUGA